rnacentral:lncRNA from 1 species
UGAGACUUAAUAUGUUGCAGAGAAUUUAGAUAAACACUGGCCAGGAUGACUGGGAGUAAAAAUAGCUACAUUAAGGUAUGGAAAAGCACCCACAUAGAGCACUUGAACCUCCUUAGAACCUGUUUGGAGAAAAAUAUAGAGUGUACUAAACCUCACUAAGGUUAUUACGGUCAGGCUGUUUGAAGCACCAUCUUUCCCUCCUGCCUUUUUCCCACCUUCCAAUGUACUCAAGAAAAUUGAAAAAUUGUAAUGAAUCUUCAAAUCCUUGUUUUCUCUUAAUCUAGCUAAGGCAUAUCCAAAAUAAAAUG